CAAAGAGGUUCUGAACGAUUUGACGGUCGGGCCAGCCGCAAGCGUCGCGCAAACGCUUGAGCAUCGCGAUAUCGGCCAUCAUGGCUGCCUCGUGCCAUGCGAGAUGGAGACCCGCCGGCGGCGCGCACCGGGCCAGCGGCGGCACGAUCGCCAAGUUGUGCGUGGCGACGGCCCGACAGAAAGCACCGUGCGUGACCUCGGCGUCAGCCGGAAGGCGCUCCAGUAGACGCGCGACCACAGCGCUGCCUCCGUACGAUAGGGCCAUGUCGAGCGCGUGCCGGCGCGGUCCAAAGCGGAAAAGGGGACGAUCACUUUCAAGCAUAAACCCCUGCCAGACGGGCUCAUCAAAUUCCCAGCGCAUCUUGAUGCCGCAGUGGCGCUCGCAGAACUGCGCCGUCUCGGCGUGGCCGCGCACGGCCGCGAUGGCCGUCGCAAGACCACUCAGUCGGAUGCCGGCCGACGCCGCCCACGCCAGUAUGUGGGUAUGGCCCCCAUAGGCGGCGGCCAAUGUCUGCAUGCGAGACACGCGCUUUCCCCCUUUCUUGAUGCGCGCAACCACGUCCAGGUGUCCAUUGCGCGCCGCUUCGACUGCAAGCCGCUCUAGGUCAUCCGACCAGUGCGACAGGGCGUCGGCGCGGCCGUAUCGUGCGGCGGCCAGGGCCGAGACUGCACCGUCCAACCACCCAUGGGUGUGGAGCGGUUUCACCCAGUCGACGAUGCGGGCGUGGUCGGCGAGAACAGCCGAAAUGUGACACCCGCUCACAUACAGUUUGCCUCUGUCGCGCAGCCACUCGAGCGCACCAAUGUGUCCGUGGGCGGCGGCGUGUGCGCUUGCGUCGCGUGGCGCGUCGUAACCAUUGUCCUGGAGCCAUUCGAAUAGGCCGAUGUCGCCCAGUGAUGCGGCAGCGAUCCAAGCAACCACCGCGGAGACGCGACCGUCCUCCAAGAGCACCUCUAGGACGUCGCGGUGGCCGCGGCAGACAGCGCGCCGAAUGGCAUCUUCCAAACUGGCGCGUUGAGUGUUUUUGACCGUGUCUUGCUCGAUCGCCGGUCGGAGCACUGAUUCGGUCGAGCGCUGGUGACGUAAAAAGACGUGCACUAGGGCGACAUGGCCCCCGUCGGCCGCGGCCACCAAGCACCGAUCGACGGAGCAGGGGCACCCGGUCGCCUGCAACCACACGAGUACAUCGACGUGACCACGGUGCGCGGCGUCGACCCAGGUGUCUGCGUCCCACGGACAGCCCUCGCCAAUGGCCCACUGCGCAAGGUCCAGGCGACCGAGGCGGCAGGCCGCAGUCAAAAAGGUGCGCCGUUGGUGCAGGCGCGGCUUGCCCUCCCAGUCGCCCUCUUCGUCUCGUCUUGCCAACAACGGCGCGCGCUGGGUCCUGACCGACGCCCUCCACAGAGGCGACACCAACGCGCACACAAACCGGUCGGCCGGGCCGAGACGAUCGAGGAUGGCGUCGAUAAUCUCUGGAGGCAUGUCGGUCAUGCCCGUCGUUGGCUCUAUCGCCCCUUCUUCCAUCCUUUUUUUUCGUGUUUUUUUCCUCUUGUCCCAGUGCCGCUCUGCCUUUGUGGACCCGCCAACUCCUUCCCUUUAUAAAAAGAGCAAAGCUGCAGGCUGCACUUAUCGACGUCAACUUUUGGUGAAAUGGCAUGUCGGGCGCGUGUUCUUGCCUCCCGAACGGUUCAGUUUAAGGCGGCGCACCGCGAACGACGAGUUAAGGCGGCGUAUCGGGAAUGACGAGUUAACACGAAAGAGUCUACACAAAACACUUUAG
rnacentral:lncRNA from 1 species